rnacentral:rRNA from 1 species
CCUACGGGAGGCAGCAGUAGGGAAUCUUCCACAAUGGGCGAAAGCCUGAUGGAGCAACGCCGCGUGGGUGAAGAAGGUCUUCGGAUCGUAAAACCCUGUUGUUAGAGAAGAAAGUGCGUGAGAGUAACUGUUCACGUUUCGACGGUAUCUAACCAGAAAGGCACGGCUAACUACGUGCCAGCAGCCGCGGUAAUACGUAGGUGGCAAGCGUUAUCCGGAAUUAUGGGGCGUAAAGGGAACGCAGGCGGUCUUUCAAGUCUGAUGUGAAAGCCUUCGGCUUAACCGGAGUAGUGCAUUGGAAACGGGGAGACUUGAGUGCAGAAGAGGAGAGUGGAACUCCAUGUGUAGCGGUGAAAUGCGUAGAUAUAUGGAAGAACACCAGUGGCGAAGGCGGCUCUCUGGUCUGUAACUGACGCUGAGGUUCGAAAGCGUGGGUAGCAAACAGGAUUAGAUACCCUGGUAGUC